rnacentral:rRNA from 1 species
UACGUAGGUGGCAAGCGUUGUCCGGAUUUACUGGGCGUAAAGAGCGCGCAGGCGGUCCGAUCAGUCGAAUGUGAAAGCCCCCCGGCUCAACUGGGGAGGGUCACGCGAUACUGAUCGACUCGAAGGCAGGAGAGGGUAGUGGAAUUCCCGGUGUAGUGGUGAAAUGCGUAGAUAUCGGGAGGAACACCAGUGGCGAAGGCGACUACCUGGCCUGUUCUUGACGCUGAGGCGCGAAAGCUAGGGGAGCAAACGGG